rnacentral:rRNA from 1 species
UGAGUUUGAUCCUGGCUCAGAUUGAACGCUGGCGGCAGGCCUAACACAUGCAAGUCGAACGGUAACAGGAAGCAGCUUGCUGCUUCGCUGACGAGUGGCGGACGGGUGAGUAAUGUCUGGGAAACUGCCUGAUGGAGGGGGAUAACUACUGGAAACGGUAGCUAAUACCGCAUAACGUCGCAAGACCAAAGAGGGGGACCUUCGGGCCUCUUGCCAUCGGAUGUGCCCAGAUGGGAUUAGCUAGUAGGUGGGGUAACGGCUCACCUAGGCGACGAUCCCUAGCUGGUCUGAGAGGAUGACCAGCCACACUGGAACUGAGACACGGUCCAGACUCCUACGGGAGGCAGCAGUGGGGAAUAUUGCACAAUGGGCGCAAGCCUGAUGCAGCCAUGCCGCGUGUAUGAAGAAGGCCUUCGGGUUGUAAAGUACUUUCAGCGGGGAGGAAGGGAGUAAAGUUAAUACCUUUGCUCAUUGACGUUACCCGCAGAAGAAGCACCGGCUAACUCCGUGCCAGCAGCCGCGGUAAAAUC